GACGUAGGGCGCGAGCGUUGUCCGGAUUUAUUGGGCGUAAAGAGCUCGUAGGCGGCUUGUCGCGUCGACUGUGAAAACCCGCGGCUCAACUGCGGGCCUGCAGCCGAUACGGGCAGGCUAGAGUUCGGUAGGGGAGACUGGAAUUCCUGGUGUAGCGGUGAAAUGCGUAGAUAUCGAGAGGAACACCUGCGGCGAAGGCGGGUUGCUGGGCCGACACUGACGCUGAUGCGCGAAGCCAGGGAGCGAACGGG
rnacentral:rRNA from 1 species